GAAAUGAAAAGCUGUGCUCCAUUUGUGUAAACAACAGCAAUAACAGCAACUAAAACAACAAAAACUGAUCCCCUGGCUGAGCUUGUAAAUAACAUCUAAGUUAUUGUGAUUGAAAAUGCUUGAAAAAAGUAUAUGAGUAUCAAGAAAAGAAAGAGAUGUCCCAGUGUUCCAGCAGAUUUCCAACAAAAAGGAAAUUAUGAUGUGAGUUUAGGAAUCUUGUACAUAUAUAAUGUUUGUAUUCAGAUUUUUUCACUCCCAUAACCUCUGAAAAAUGUAAAGAAAAGUUCCUUUUUGUUUUUGAGUGUUAGGAUUAUAGUGGAAAAGUGACUUUUUAAGCUCAGAUGAUUACAAUCCACUGAAUUUUGGGUGGGAUUCCCACUCAGGAAAUCUGAUUAGAGUUUUUGCUCUGAGCUAGACAGGGCAGAAGACUCCUGAAUGCAAAGAUGACUAUGGAUAGAGUUCUAUAAUGUGUUCUCAUACAACAGUGAUGAAAAUAUCCAUUUAAUCAUUUCUAUAUAGCACCGUUUAAAGAAAUGCUCAUUAGUGUUUAAUUUUGUUAUAUGGAAAUCCAGUGCACUUCCU
rnacentral:lncRNA from 1 species